rnacentral:rRNA from 1 species
ACAUCUCGCGCCCACGAGACCAGAGGCAAGCUCGUCUGCCGAGCGGCGGACGGGUGAGUAAUGUCUGGGAAACUGCCUGAUGGCGGGGGAUAACUACUGGAAACGGUAGCUAAUCCCGCAUACCAUCAGAUGUGCCCAGAUGGGAUUAGCUAGUAGGUGGGGUAAUGACGCACCGAGGCGACGAUCCCUAGCUGGUCUGUGAGGAGGACCAGCACCACUUGAACGGAGUAACGGUCCCGACUCCUACGGGAGGCAGCAGUGGGGAAUAUUGCACCAUGGGCGCAAGCGUGAUGCAGCCAGGCCGCGUGUGUGAAGAAGGCCUUCGUGUUGUAAAGCACUUUCAGCGAGGAGGCGUUACUCGCAGAAGAAGCACCGGCUAACUCCGUGCCAGCCGCCGCGGUAAUUC